GAGUAGCGUGACCUGGAAUUUGGGAGAAUUCAACGACACUGGCAGCCAAGUUGACAUUGUUUACUGCCGUUAGCAUGUAGUUACACGGACAAUGUUAACACUACAGUGGCAUAAAAAGAAAAACACUCCAGUCCUAACUCCUUGGAGCAGAUGACCAAUCACAGGAGACCAGCUUAGAGUUGCGUAGCACUUAGCCCAGAGUAGAGAAAACUGUUGAUACCGGAGUGUGCAGAAUAGUUGGAAAUCUGAACGUUUUAGCUCACAGGGAUGUCUCUAAAAUACGUUUACUUCAUUAUUUGAUUUUGGCCAUUGUAAUGUGAAAGGUCACGUUUAAAGCACAAUU